CCUACGGGUGGCAGCAGUAGGGAAUCUUUCACAAUGGGCGAAAGCCUGAUGGAGCAACGCCGCGUGCAGGAUGAAGGCCUUCGGGUUGUAAACUGCUUUUAUAAGCGAGAAAUAUGAUGGUAACUUAUGAAUAAGGAUCGGCUAACUACGUGCCAGCAGCCGCGGUCAUACGUAGGAUCCGAGCAUUAUCCGGAGUGACUGGGUGUAAAGAGUUGCGUAGGUGGCAUAAUAAGUAGCUAGGGAAAUCUGGUGGCUCAACCAUUCAGACUAUUAGCUAAACUGUUAAGCUCGAGACCGUUAGUGGUAACUGGAAUUUCGAGUGUAGGAGUGAAAUCCGUAGAUAUUAGAAGGAACACCAAUAGCGUAGGCAGGUUGCUGGGACGGUUCUGACACUAAGGCACGAAAGCGUAGGGAGCAAACGGGAUUAGAUACCCCUGUAGUC
rnacentral:rRNA from 1 species